CCUUAAUAAAUGGGAAAAUUAACAAGACUUUCCUCUUCAUCUUCAGACUGUUCACAAGCAGCAACAGGACUAGUUAAUUCAACUCCAAACUGUUUAGAAAGCUUUUUUAACUUUUCUUCUAAGAGAAUAUUUUUUUUCACUUCUUCCUUGUAAUUAUACUUCAGAUCUUCAAUUUCUUCAAAGAACGAAGGAUCAAAAUUUUCCAGUUCUUUUUUCAGCUUUUUUAUUUCCUCCUAAUAAAAACAUAUUAUCUUUAAAAGGUAUGGAUAGGAAUAUAAUACAUUCUUUAGGUUUGAACUAAAGAGAUUUAAUUGCAAACAUGAAGGCCAAAGUAACCUAAAUAGUCAAAUGUACUUAUAAAGGCACAUC